GCACCCGUAGCUCAGCUGGAUAGAGCGUCGCCCUCCGAAGGCGAAGGCCACUGGUUCGAAUCCAGUCGGGUGCACCA
rnacentral:tRNA from 6 species